UGUAGCAGUGAAUGCGUAGAUAUCGAGAGGAACACCAGUUGCGAAGGCGGAUCUCUGGACGGUUUCUGACGCUGAGGCACGAAAGCUGGGGUAGCGAAGAGGAUUAGAUACCCUCGUAGUCCCAGCCGUAAACGGUGCACACUUGCUGUGGGCGGAUUCGACCCCGUCUGUGGCGAAGCUAACGCGAUAAGUGUGCCGCCUGGGGAGUACGGUCGCAAGAUUAAAACUCAAAGAAAUUGACGGGGGCCUGCACAAGCGGUGGAGUAUGUGGCUUAAUUCGAUGCAACGCGAAGAACCUUACCUGGCCUUGACAUGUAGUGGCCCGGGUGCGAAAUCACCCUUUUCUUCGGAACUGCUACACAGGUGCUGCAUGGCUGUCGUCAGCUCGUGUCGUGAGAUGUUGGGUUAAGUCCCGCAACGAGCGCAACCCCCGUGUUCUGUUGCCACCCGGAUGUAAAUCCGGAGCACUCUGGACAGACUGCCUGGUUUCAACUAGGAGGAAGGUGGGGAUGACGUCAAGUCAGUAUGGCCCUUACGGCCAGGGCUGCACACGUACUACAAUGCCUGAUAUAAUGGGAAGCAAGACCGCGAGGUGGAGCAAAUCCUCAAAAUCAGGCCCAGUUCAGAUUGUAGGCUGCAACUCGCCUACAUGAAGGAGGAAUCGCUAGUAAUGCCGUAUCAGCUACGACGGCGUGAAUACGUUCCCAGGCCUUGUACACACCGCCCGUCACAUCAUGAAAGUCGAUUGUACCCGAAGUCGCUGAGUUAACCGCAAGGAGACAGGCGCCGAAGGUAUGGUUGGUAAUUGGGAU
rnacentral:rRNA from 1 species